rnacentral:rRNA from 1 species
AUUAUGAGAGUUUGAUCCUGGCUCAGGACGAACGCUGGCGGCGUGCCUAAUACAUGCAAGUCGAACG